GGUCACGAGUUCCAGCGUCAAGCCCCGGCUCGCUGGACAGCAACCCUCCAACUCGCGGUGGGGUGCUCCGGGUGAGGACCUGGCUCCGGUCACUUCCGGUCGGAGCAAGCGCGAGGC
rnacentral:ncRNA from 2 species